CGCCUUUAGGGGGCGGGGCCGGGGCGGGGCCGGUGGCCACGGGGGCGACGUCACUGGCCACGGAGGGGGCGGGGGUGGCCCCAGUAGCUCCAGAGUUGAUACUGGGGACACUGGUGGCCACUUUGGGGACGGUGGUGGCCACAUCGGAGACGGUGGUGGCCACUUUGGGGUCGUUGGUGGCCACAGCGGUGGCCCCAGUAGCUCCAGCGUUGACACUGGUGACACUGGUGGCCACUUCGGGGACGGUGGUGGCCACGGAGUUGACACUGGUGACACUGGUGGCCACUUUGGGGACGUUGGUGGCCACAUCAGAGACGUUGGUGGCCACGGGGGUGGCUCCAGAGUUGAUACUGGUCAUACUGGUGGCCACAGCAGAGACGUUGGUGGCCACUUUGGGGACGUUGGUGGCCACAUCAGAGACGUUGGUGGCCACGGGGGUGACGUUGGUGGCCCCCGGGGUGACGUUGGUGGCCCCCGGGGUGAGGUUGGUGGCCACAGGGGAGGGGCNNNNNNNNNNNNNNNNNNNNNNNNNNNNNNNNNNNNNNNNNNNNNNNGAUGUGACGGGGGAGGGCGGGGCCGGCGGCUUCGAGGGCGUGGCUGCGGGUGAUGACGUCACCGAUGAUGUCAUCGAUGAGGUUGACGUCACGGAUGAUGUCAGGGAUGACGUCACGGAUGGUGACGUCCCGGGUGAUGUCACCGAUGAUGUCACCGCCGGCCCCGAUGAGGUCACCGAGGGCUUUGACGUCACUGAUGACGUCAUCGGCGGCCCCGCUGAGGUCUUUGACGCCGCUGCUGAUGUCAUCAAUGACGUCACUGACGGCCCUGCUGAGGUCACUGCGGGCUUUGACGUCGCUGCUGAUGUCAUCGCCGGCCCCGAUGAGGUCACCGCCGCCUUGGACGCUGCUGCUGAUGUCAUCGAUGACGUCACCGCCGCCCCUGGUGAUGUCACUGCUGCCUUCGACGCCGCUGAUGUCACCGCCGGCCCUGGUGACGUCACCGAGGGCUUCGACGUCACCGAUGAUGUCACUGAUGACCCCGCUGAGGUCACCGCGGCCUUGGACGGCGCCGAUGACGUCGUAGACGGCGCCGAUGACGUCACUGGCGUCUUCGAUGACGUCACGGGCGACGCCCCCGCGGGCCCUGAUGAUGUCACCGCCGUCGACGCCUUCGGUGACGUCACGGGGGGCGCUGACGUCAUCGUCGACGUCAUCGUUGACGUUGUCGUCGCCGUCGUUGUUGAUGAUGUCAUCGGGGGGGUCGAUGAUGUCAUCGGGGAGGCGGAUGAUGUCAUCGGGGGGGUCGCUGACGUCACGGCCUUGCCGUCGGGCCCCGCCCCCGCCCCGGUAGCCCCCCUGGGGGGGUCGGUCGCCCCCUGGUUUCCGGUUCCCCCCCCCUCGGUGCCGGGCGGGGCGGG
rnacentral:lncRNA from 1 species